rnacentral:rRNA from 1 species
AGCAGUAGCCGCGGGAAAACGGAGGGGGCUAGCGUUGUUCGGGAUUACUGGGCGUAAAGCGCACGUAGGCGGCUUGGUAAGUUAGAGGUGAAAGCCUGGAGCUCAACUCCAGAAUUGCCCUUAAGACUGCCGAGCUAGCAGGUGAGAGAGGUAAGUGGAAUUCCGAGUGUAGAGGUGAAAUUCGUAGAUAUUCGGAAGAACACCAGUGGCGAAGGCGGCUCACUGGACUGGUAUUGACGCUGAGGUGCGAAAGCGUGGGGAGCAAACAGGAUUAGAUACCCCCGUAGUCCCUGUCUCUUAUAC